GUUCCUAAUAAUCGAUUUUUUCCAUAAAUCGUGCUUUCGGACUCUCUUUAUCCAUGUUUACUUGGUCCAUCAAUUCAUAAACCCGACUCUUUAGUUGCGUUGGGCUCGCCGAGAUAGUCGAAAUGCACUACCUAUCUCCUCGAGUCGGACUCCGGGUUCAUCUCCUAUGAUUUAUUUCAAUCCCAUGGCUUAUAUUAUUAGGGAAUUUCAAAAUAUUCUCUAAUUCAGGAAAUAGGAAAAGAAAAACUUAACCUUAUCUCUUACCUCUCCCUCAAAAUGUGAGCUCUCCUUGUCCAUAGUAGGCGUGCUCCACAUCUUUCUUCUCUUCCCCAAGCCGAAGGGAAGAAACCCUUUCUCCUCUCUUCUCCAGCCAGCCUACUCCCUCCUCCCUUCCUUCCCCACUCCUCCCCAGGUGCCUCCUUGCUGCACCACACCCUUCACCACCUCCAUGGUUGCCCUUUGAUUUAGGGCUUUGAGGAAGAAGGAAAGGAGACAAGAAGAGGGGGAACAAGAAAGCUUCCCCAACUUUUCCCUUCACCAAAUCUGUGUGUUUUGACCAUAGAGCAGGUUGCAGCACCAAUCCACCGGAGAUAGCCUCGCACCACCUCCCUUGCAACGAUUGAGGCGAGUACACCGGGCAACAAGGGCUAGAUUGCUCCCUUAAUGUUAUGUUCAUGUUCACAUUAUUCCUUUACAUUCAUGCAAUGGUGAACAUACAACUCCCUAGUGUACAUUUCAAUA